AACGAACGCUGGCGGCAGGCUUAACACAUGCAAGUCGAGCGCCCCGCAAGGGGAGCGGCAGACGGGUGAGUAACGCGUGGGAAUCUACCCAUCUCUACGGAAUAACGCAUGGAAACGUGUGCUAAUACCGUAUACGUCCUUCGGGAGAAAGAUUUAUCGGAGAUGGAUGAGCCCGCGUUGGAUUAGCUAGAUGGUGGGGUAAAGGCCUACCAAGGCGACGAUCCAUAGCUGGUCUGAGAGGAUGAUCAGCCACACUGGGACUGAGACACGGUCCAGACUCCUACGGGAGGCAGCAGUGGGGAAUAUUGGACAAUGGGCGCAAGCCUGAUCCAGCCAUGCCGCGUGAGUGAUGAAGGCCCUAGGGUUGUAAAGCUCUUUCACCGGUGAAGAUAAUGACGGUAACCGGAGAAGAAGCCCCGGCUAACUUCGUGCCAGCCGCCGCAGUAACAC
rnacentral:rRNA from 1 species